GUUAUGUAAUUUUUUCGGCAAUUGCCGAACUACAAGGGCAAAUAAAUGAAUAAAUUCAUAAUGUGCUUUCCUUGAUUCUUACUCUUUCUUAGAAAUAGGCGAUUCUCUGAAGACCCUGUCCUCCCCAUCUCCUCUUCUAAGGCUUCAUGGAGAUUGAUCGACGAAUCUCAAGGAUUUGAUUUCGAUUCCUUUUCAAUUUCUCUAUCUCGGACGGAAAUCGAUCAUUUAUUACGAUGAAUGACUUUCCCUCCUUUGUAGCAGUCCAUGCCCUUGAGCCAG
rnacentral:misc_RNA from 1 species